rnacentral:rRNA from 1 species
ACUACGGGUGGCAGCAGUGGGGAAUAUUGGGCAAUGGGCGCAAGCCUGACCCAGCAACGCCGCGUGAAGGAAGAAGGCUUUCGGGUUGUAAACUUCUUUUCUCAGGGACGAAGCAAGUGACGGUACCUGAGGAAUAAGCCACGGCUAACUACGUGCCAGCAGCCGCGGUAAUACGUAGGUGGCAAGCGUUAUCCGGAUUUACUGGGGGUAAAGGGCGUGUAGGCGGGAAAGCAAGUCAGAGGUGAAAACCAUGGGCUCAACCUGUGGCCUGCAUGUGACACUGUUUUUCUUGAGUACGGGAGAGGCAGACGGAAUUCCUAGUGUAGCGGUGAAAUGCGUAGAUAUUAGGAGGAACACCAGUGGCGAAGGCGGUCUGCUGGACAGCAACUGACGCUGAGGCGCGAAAGCGUGGGGAGCAAACAGGAUUAGAUACCCCGGUAGUC